UACGUAGGGGGCAAGCGUUGUCCGGAUUUAUUGGGCGUAAAGAGCGUGUAGGCGGCCAGGUAGGUCUGCUGUGAAAACUCGUAGGCUUAACCUCGAGCUAGUCGGCGGAAACCAUCUGGCUAGAGUCCGGAAGAGGACGAAUGGAAUUCCCGGUGUAGCGGUGAAAUGCGCAGAUAUCGGGAAGAACACCCGUGGCGAAAGCGGCGCGCUGGACCACUACUGACGCUGAGGAACGAAAGCUAGGGGAGCAAACAGG
rnacentral:rRNA from 1 species